CUGUAUAUUUGUCAACACGCUGAAGUUAAUCACCAUCUAACGUCUUUAUGAACACUUGUAAACUAAAUACUAACUUCUGUCUGGUCCCCAUAGAAAUACUUCUCUCGUCGUUUAGAACCAAAAUUUACCAAUAUUUUUGUAGUUUAUAGAUUGUAGAAGUUGUGUACCUUUAACUUGUUAAUUUCCUCGCAGCUUGAAAGAACUGUAAAGACAAGAAAGCAAACGUUUUCA
rnacentral:lncRNA from 1 species